GUUGAACGCUAGCGGCAUGCUUUACACAUGCAAGUCGAGCGAGUGGCGGGCGGGAGAAUCAUAUGUCGGAACGUGCCCAGUGGCGGGGGAUAACUCCUCGAAACAGUGCCAAAUACCGCAUACCAUUGGCUCGGCGGAGAGCGGAUUCGCUAGUUGGUGGGGUAAAGGCUCACCAAGGCAACGAUCCGUAGUUGGUUUGCGAGGACGACCAGCCACACUGGGACUGGGACACGGCCCAGACUCCUACGGGAGGCAGCAGUAGGGAAUCUUCGGCAAUGGGGGAAACCCUGACCCAGCCACCCCGCGUGUAUGAGAAGGCCUUCGGGUUGUAAAGUACUGUUGGCAGAGAAGCGGUACCUGAACAAAAAGCCCCGGCUAACUACGUGCCAGCCGCCGCGGUAAUAC
rnacentral:rRNA from 1 species